rfam:Toxocara canis scaffold433, whole genome shotgun sequence.
GCGGUAGUAGCUCAGUGGUAGAGCCCCCGCUUCGCAUGCGGGGAGGCCUGCGAUCGAUUCCCGGCUGUAUCC